AGAGUUUGAUCAUGGCUCAGGAUGAACGCUAGCUACAGGCUUAACACAUGCAAGUCGCGGGGCAGCAUGUCGGUUGCUUGCAACCGAUGAUGGCGACCGGCGCACGGGUGAGUAACGCGUAUCCAACCUGCCCUGCGGUAGGGAACAGCCCGGCGAAAGUCGGAUUAAUGCCCUAUGUGCUCAUUUGACGGCAUCAGAUUUUGAGCAAAGGAGCGAUUCGCCGCAGGAUGGGGAUGCGUCCGAUUAGCUUGCCGGCGGGGUAACGGCCCACCGGGGCAUCGAUCGGUAGGGGUUCUGAGAGGAAGGUCCCCCACACUGGUACUGAGACACGGACCAGACUCCUACGGGAGGCAGCAGUGAGGAAUAUUGGUCAAUGGGCGUGAGCCUGAACCAGCCAAGUAGCGUGCAGGAAGACGGCCCUAUGGGUUGUAAACUGCUUUUAUGCGGGGAUAAACGUCGCUACGUGUAGCGAUUUGCAGGUACCGCAUGAAUAAGGACCGGCUAAUUCCGUGCCAGCAGCCGCGGUAAUACGGAAGGUCCGGGCGUUAUCCGGAUUUAUUGGGUUUAAAGGGUGCGCAGGCGGCGCGAAAAGUCAGCGGUCAAAGUUCCGGGCUCAACCCGGUGACGCCGUUGAAACUUUCGUGCUGGAGUUCGUGCGAGGGAGGCGGAAUGCGUUGUGUAGCGGUGAAAUGCAUAGAUAUGACGCAGAACCCCGAUUGCGAAGGCAGCUUUCCAGCACGCGACUGACGCUGAGGCACGAAAGCGUGGGGAGCGAACAGGAUUAGAUACCCUGGUAGUCCACGCGGUAAACGAUGAAUACUAGCCCUGCGGCGCGAAUGAGUGCUGCGGGGCAGAGUGAAAACGUUAAGUAUUCCACCUGGGGAGUACGCCGGCAACGGUGAAACUCAAAGGAAUUGACGGGGGCCAGCACAAGCGGAGGAACAUGUGGUUUAAUUCGAUGAUACGCGAGGAACCUUACCCGGGCUCAAACGGCGGGAGACGCGUCCGGAAACGGGCGUUCCCUUCGGGGCUGCCGCCGAGGUGCUGCAUGGUUGUCGUCAGCUCGUGCCGUGAGGUGUCGGCUUAAGUGCCAUAACGAGCGCAACCCCCAUCUUCAGUUGCCAGCGGGCAAAGCCGGGCACUCUGGAGAGACUGCCAGCGCAAGCUGUGAGGAAGGCGGGGAUGACGUCAAAUCAGCACGGCCCUUACGUCCGGGGCGACACACGUGUUACAAUGGCAGGGUCACAGAGGGAAGCCAGGCGGCGACGCCGAGCCGAUCCCGAAAACCUGUCUCAGUUCGGAUCGGAGUCUGCAACCCGACUCCGUGAAGCUGGAUUCGCUAGUAAUCGCGCAUCAGCCAUGGCGCGGUGAAUACGUUCCCGGGCCUUGUACACACCGCCCGUCAAGCCAUGGAAGCCUGGAGUGCCUGAAGUUCGUGACCGCGAGGAGCGACCAAGGGUAAGACAGGUAACUGGGGCUAAGUCGUAACAAGGUAACCGUAA
rnacentral:rRNA from 1 species